rnacentral:rRNA from 1 species
GCGGGCCUAAUAAUGCAGUCGAGCGACAGAUAAGGAGCUUGCUCCUUUGACGUUAGCGGCGGACGGGUGAGUAACACGUGGGUAACCUACCUAUAAGACUGGGAUAACUUCGGGAAACCGGAGCUAAUACCGGAUAACAUUUGGAACCGCAUGGUUCUAAAGUGAAAGAUGGUUUUGCUAUCACUUAUAGAUGGACCCGCGCCGUAUUAGCUAGUUGGUAAGGUAACGGCUUACCAAGGCGACGAUACGUAGCCGACCUGAGAGGGUGAUCGGCCACACUGGAACUGAGACACGGUCCAGACUCCUACGGGAGGCAGCAGUAGGAAUCUUCCGCAAUGGGCGAAAGCCUGACGGAGCAACGCCGCGUGAGUGAUGAAGGGUUUCGGCUCGUAAAACUCUGUUAUUAGGGAAGAACAAAUGUGUAAGUAACUGUGCACGUCUUGACGGUACCUAAUCAGAAAGCCCGGCUAACUACGUGCCAGCAGCCGCGGUAAUACGUAGGUGGCAAGCGUUAUCCGGAAUUAUUGGGCGUAAAGCGCGCGUAGGCGGUUUCUUAAGUCUGAUGUGAAAGCCCACGGCUCAACCGUGGAGGGUCAUUGGAAACUGGGAAACUUGAGUGCAGAAGAGGAAAGUGGAAUUCCAUGUGUAGCGGUGAAAUGCGCAGAGAUAUGGAGGACACCAGUGGCGAAGGCGACUUUCUGGUCUGUAACUGACGCUGAUGUGCGAAAGCGUGGGGAUCAAACAGGAUUAGAUACCCUGGUAGUCCACGCCGUAAACGAUGAGUGCUAAGUGUUAGGGGUUUCCGCCCCUUAGUGCUGCAGCUAACGCAUUAAGCACUCCGCCUGGGGAGUACGACCGCAAGGUUGAAACUCAAGGAUUGACGGGACCGCACAGCGGUGGAGCAUGUGUUUAAUCGAAGCACGCGAAGAACCUUACAAGUCUGACAUCUUUGAAACUCUAGAAGA